UAAAUAAAUUUAUGCAGUAUAUCGAUUCUUUUUUUCACUCCUCAUCGCUGUUCAUCGUUUCUCUCGCCUCUUCUUGUUUCCGUCUGUCGGUACCAUCGUUCUAGCUGCCAUCCACUACCGUUACGGUGCUUCAUUCAGCUGUUCAUUAACGCCUUAGUCCACACUCCACCACCGGUUGUUAUCAUUGUUGCUGCUUCGCUGGGCACGCUUGUGGGUUCUUUUUGCGGAGAUUUUAAAGAAAGAUGCCACACAGAACACGGCCUAUGACAGCUCUCUUGGUGUUUACUGGACUCAAUGUCAUCUUGGUGUCGAGUAUCACUCCGGUUUAUGAUUUUGUGUCCUUCCAUCCUUACUGGGAAAGAAGGUGAGUAGAUCAUUGCAUGAACCAUUUAUUAUGCCAGUAACAUGCAAAGUUGAUCAUGAACAAGAAAGGAGCUAGAUCUUGUUUAUUUGUUGUCUUGGAUUUGUUUCAGAGAGAACACCGCCAGCAGGAAGGUGAAGCUGCUUUAACAAAGGCUUCUGCAUGAACCCAGAAGGGCCUUUGAUGUUGCAGAUGAGUGGUCUUUAAUCAAUGUGGAUCCAUGUAUGAUAAUGCGGUUCUCUUAUUCUCCUUUUUUCUUGGGCAUAUGUAGGAGAAGAUAAGAAGACUUGUGCGACAUCUAUAUAUGAACUCUCUGAAGGAGUGGAAGCAUGAAAAUUAUUAGAUUAGAACAUUAAAUUCAAAAAUUUUCUUCUAGGGUCUCAUGCAUCAUGCAAGAUUCAUUAUAUACCUAAUUGAUUUCAAUGUUCAAUUGCAUAUUAAAACCCUUUUAAUA